GGUUGUGUACUUUAUCUAAAAGAUUUAGUCUGCACCUAAAAUUAGAGUUUAUACUCCACAACCA
rnacentral:tRNA from 1 species